rnacentral:lncRNA from 1 species
UGUUUUUAAAGAAGGGACUCUUGAUCUGAUUUGGCAAAUUAAAAAACAACAACUCAUUUUCACAUCUAUCCACUUAUUAUUAAACAGAAAUAUUUUUAAAAAACAACCUUAAUUUUAUGUAUUAUUAACAAGUUUGUCAUUAUGUUUAUGUGUCAACACUUCGAGCUUUCUUAUACCACAUUCUAAACAAUUAUUUAUUUAAUAGAAAAAUUACGACAUAUGUCAUUAACCCCUAUUCAUUAUAUCAUUAUCAUUUAUUAUAUCAUUUAAAAAAAUAUAUUAGUUUAAAUGUAUUCCCAUAUCAGAUUCCUAACUAUACAUAUAGAAACCAACUAAUUAAUAUACCGUGUAUGAAAUUUCUGAUUCCUUAAAUGACAAGUACAUAUAUUGUCAUGUGUAUAAGCUUCGUUUGCAAAAUACAAUAAAUUUUUUUUUUUGGUAAUCAAAAUAUACAAUAACCGACUGAUAUAUCGUGUAUGAAAUUUCUGAUUCCUUAGAUGUUAAUUACAUACAUUGUCAUGUGUGUAAGCUUCGUUUGCAAAAUACAAUAUAUAUUUUUUGGUAAUAAAAAUAUACAAUAAUUAAAAUACAAUAAUUUUGUAUGUACGAAGUUACACAAAUUAUAUAAGUUUAAUUUUUUUGCAUUUUACUCACUAUUUUCUGUAAAACAAAAUUGUAUAUAUAUCACCCCGAGUAUGACAAGCUUAUCCCAUACCUUCCCAUUCAUUUUUCAAAGGCUGCAUUAAAUUCUCCAUUUAAUUCUCUUAUUUAAACUUUAAGACUCUGUGGGCGAAUUCAUGCAUGCACCAAUAGAUACGCUCUAUGCAAUGUAUGAUUAUGAGUAUGGGUAGGUUAGCUUCUUAAAUGCAAAUCCUUGUCCUUCCUCCUUUUUUAAUCUCUAUAAAUUGCUCUUCUUC